GAUCAUGGCUCAGGAUGAACGCUGGCGGCGUGCUUAACACAUGCAAGUCGAGCGAGAAGCUUUGGAAUGAAACUUCGGUUGAAAUGAAAGAGUGGAAAGCGGCGGACGGGUGAGUAACGCGUAGGCAACCUGCCCCAUACACAGGGAUAGCCUCGGGAAACCGGGAUUAAAAACCUGAUAACACAAGAGGGUCACAUGGUUCUUUUGUCAAAGAUUUAUCGGUAUGGGAUGGGCCUGCGUCUGAUUAG
rnacentral:rRNA from 1 species